rnacentral:lncRNA from 1 species
GUUCAAUCCCCAGUACACACGCGCACAAAAAAAUUUUAAAUCAGGAAGAGAUAGUGGCAGAAAAUGAAAUGUCCUUUAGCAUAAAAUGUUUAAUCUUGCCUAACAAGUGCAAGUUAAACUGAGGUACCUGGGUUGGGGAUGUGGCUCAAGUGGUCGUCUGCUUGCCUGGCAUGCGUGGGGCACUGGGUUUGAUCCUCAGCACCACAUAAAAAAUAAAAAAUAAAGAUGUUGUGUCCACCGAAAACUAAAAAAUAAAUAUUAAAACAAAUUCUCUCUCUCUCUUUAAAAAAACAACAACUGAGAUACCAUUUUUUACACAUCACUGACCAAUAUUAGAAAUUUUCUAUAAUACAUAGGUUAAUGAGGAUGGGAAAACAGGCACUCACAUGCUGGGGGGGGGGGUCGUGUGUAUGAAUGAUAGGGUCAGUCAUUUUCCCUCCUUUUUAAUCCUAAAGAACAUUAUUUGUAAAUAAUUUCAAAUUAAUAGUAGUUUAAGUAAUGACCUGAAAAACACUAUAUAUUCCUUAUAUAGCCGCUAAUAAAUAUGUUGUCCCUUUGAUUUUUUUCACUUUUUCUCUUACAUAUCUUAUAUAUAUAUUUUAUUUGUGUGCUUUCCCCCUCCUGAACUGUUGGAGAGUAAAUUGCACAUAGUUCCUACCUCUUUCCCCCAAACAUCUCAUUGUGCAUCAGCCUCCAAAAAUCUGUAAUAAUACUACUGAGUGCUGUGGUGCAUACCUAUAAUCCCAGCUACUUGGAGGCUGAGGCAGGAUUGCAGAUUUGAGGCCACUUUGGGCUAUUUAGUGAGAACCUGUAUAAAAACAAAAAAUGAAAAAAGGGUGGGAAUGCAGCUCAACAGUUCUUGCCUAGCAUGUAUGUAUAAGGCCCUAGGGUUCAAUCUCAGUACCAUGAAACAGCGAGAAAGAGAGAAAUAUUUAUAGUAUUCAUAUUCUGUGUCUGCCAACUAAUCAGUUUUUCUUAGUAAUUUGCCCUACGGUAUAAAAUUGAGUCUGGAAUUAUAUCCUGCAUUUAAUGCAUAUCUGUUUAGUACCCUUUAGUAUCUACAGAUCCUCAGCUUUUCUUUGUGUCUAAUGGUGUGGAUAUUUUUGAGGGACACAGCCUUCCUCUGCUUUCUCUCUUUUUUAGGGGGUGGUGGUGUAGGGAUUGAACCCAGGGGUACCGAACCACUGACCCACAUCCCCAGCUCUUUUUUUUGUAUUUUAUUCAGAGACAUGAUUUUGCUAAGUUGCUUAGGACCUGGCUAAAUUGUUGAGGCUAGCUUUGAACUCUCAAUCCACCUGCCUUAGCCUCCUGAGCUGCUGGAAUUACAGGUGUGCGCCAACAUGCCCGGCUGUUUUCCCUCUUUUUAAUAGAAUGCACUUUGGAUGGGAUUUGUGUGCUCUUUCCUCAUGACUAGAUUUAGAUUAUGUAAUUGUGGUUGGAACAAAAGUUAUGUCCUAUAUUUCUCCACUCUAUGUGGAGGCAUAGAGUGUCCAAUAUUCCGUUACUGGUGGUAGUCCUUUUGAUCAGUCAGGGUGUUGUCCAUUACUAUAUGAUUACUGUUUUUUCCCCUUCUCUUGGAGCAAUCUGUUGGGAAACACUGUAAGAUCAUAAAAAUAUCUUGCUCAUUAAAGUCUCUCCCCCUAGAUAAAGCAUUUGUUUGUGAUACUUUUCUGAACUGAUCUUAACUGUGAUGGUUGAAAAAUGAGGAUUUUUCUAACUCUGGUAUUCCAUUCAUAUAUAUCAGUUGACAGUUUUCAUUGUAAGCAAGACGUGUACUUUUUGAAUGUGUAAAAUGAUAUAACUUUUUUGGGCUGGGGAUGUGGCUCAAGAGGUAACGCGCUCGCCUGGCAUGCGCAUGGCACUGGGUUCGAUCCUCAGCACCAC